rnacentral:tRNA from 1 species
AGUGUUCUGGAUAGCCGAGGGGUUCGGGCGCGGGGCUGCGGAGCCGCAAGGCGCCUCUGUCGCCGAGUUCGAGGUUCGCCGAUGACAGGAUGCGGCCCGCGGACGCCUGGCUUGACAACAAACCUGUGCAACCGCCGCACAGCCCAAACUACGGGAGAGAUGAACCGCUGCUGCAGUUUCAUCACACUGUACCUUUCAUAGGAUCGAAGGGGGAGGGAAAGAACAAAGUGAGCUGGGAACCUCCCCCCCCCAAAAAAAACCCCCACAACAUUAGAUCACGCGUAAAAGUGUCCGACAGGCGACUUCCUGUGCAAAGCGAGUGAAUUGGCAAAAGCAGGAAAAGCUCCGGAUUUAGUUCUUCCCUUCAGGGCGACUCGCUCUAUUUCAGCAGAAGACACAGCAGAACGCGACGGGAAGUUCUCCAAGGGGUAUUGGGAUGGAUCCGUGCGGGAUUUGUUUUACGUCCUCAAAAGUGACUCUGGUGGGACUCGAACCCACAACCUUUGAAUCGCUGCGCCACGCUAGAAGUCCAAUGCGCUAUCCAUUGCGCCACAGAGCCGCGGGGCACGCUCUUCCCUCUGGCUCUUAAAAGGAGACUUACAGGUUAUUUUAAGGCAAUCCAGAACGUUUACAUGGGGAGGCAGAAAGCACUUGCUUUGCGUUUGGAAUUGCAGCCAAGCCUGGGGUGGCGAGUACUAGAAGAAAAAAAAAAAGAACCGACAUGACUAUUGGGGUUUUUAAAAUGGACUAAUAAGAGGAACAAAAUCUGUGCACCAGAAUUGGGGUUCGAGCCUAGGCAGGCUUAUGUGUCGACUGGAUCUCAAGUCCUACGCCUUAGCCAUGGUUUACAGAAUGGCCCAGUGGCUAACUUUUAUCACUCCUCAAAAUAAGGUGAAUAAGUUCAGUGUUCGAAAUACGGCUUACUAUGAAAGCGUCUUUAUUUAACAAAGUUCACCAGCUUUUAGCCAAUGCUGAAGUUCUGAUGCCUUAGUGAACCAGAAGCAGCAGCUAACCUAAGUCAGGCAGACAGAAGGGGGACUAUUUCCUGCACCUGUCGAUUUUUUAUUUAUUUUUGGAUGUGUGUGCGCGUGCGUGUGUGUUCACACCGCUCAAAUGUAUGGAUCCAUUUCUUCCUAUAAUACGCAGCUAACUGAAAGUUUCACUUUGAGCUCCCCCGCCCCCCAUGAAAACUUGGAAAGAGCUUUCCGGUGCUCCCUCGCGCGAAGCGGGGGGAACUUUCUCCGCCUCUUGCCGCGAGGAGACCUCCCUGAGUUUUCUCGCCGCUUUUGUUGCCUCCUGCCCUCCAGACCGUGGGAUCAGAUGCCGGGAGACUUGGAGGAGUUUCCGUCUUCCCGCCCGACCCGAGGCAGCAACAAAUGCAAGUGAAAGAAAAAAAGCCUUUCCUCCUAGGAAAAAGAAAUCCUUGCGCAUGUAUCCCCGGUAGCCGCUUUCCUGUGCUCGAGCCCGCCAGGGGGAGGCGAUCAUUCCCAGGUUCAGUCCCGGAAAUCUCUGGGUAAAAGGAUCAGAAAGAAAGCGGGGCGGAAGCCCUCUGGCCGUGACAAAGUAAAAAAGCAUCCCUGCCUGGACUCCAUGGCAGGCCUGGCCUGGACUCCAUGGCAGAACAAGAGAAAAGGAAGCCCAGGGGACCUUGACUCUGAGAUUCAACCAGGGCUAAGAAACCGGCCUUCCAGCUUCAGUCUGCGACCCAUCGGGGAGCCACGUGGGCUCACACGCCGCAAGAAGCCACUCCAGCAACACGCGGCAAGGAUUUUUACGCCACCUCUCCAAGUUUUAACUGAGAACGGGCUGCCUAGGAAGGGUUUCCUCGCCCUCUUUGCCAGGACACCGCAGACCCCACGGGUCUCUAACCGCAGGCAACUUAGAGGCGCCACUCGAGCCGCGGAACUGGUCCCUCUGCUUCGGCUGCAACGCACCACUUCCGGUGGGCGGACGACGACUGCGCGGAGGACUAGAAAGAAACACCUGUAGGGAUCCUGCCAGUCAGUUGCCCUCCGGCCUGGCGUUCUAUUUGUAGGGUUUUUCCUCAACCUGUGGGUCCCCAGAUGUUGUUGAACUACAACUCCCAUCACCCCUAGCUAGCAAGGCCAAAGCUCAGGGAUGAGUAGUGCUCCCCUCCCCUUUAAAAAUGUUUAGGGGUCCUCUCAUUUUGACUCAAGAAAAUCGCCAUUUCAGUAGUUCUAAUCGGGAAAAAUAAAUACAGUAAAUGGACAAAAGUACAAAGAUUCACAAAAUGUUUAGGGGAAUGCGCCCCCCCCAGGAAACAAGCACUGAAUAGAAGAUAAUAAAUACAAUCAAUAUGGGGAACAUUCGAACAUUGCUCUUCUGCAACUCUUUUAAGUGCAAAAGCAGAAGCAGCAGAUCCUGCGUCCUGAGCCCAGACGGCGUCCCCCAUCCCCAGAGUGUUGAAACGGGUUGCCUUCAGUCCUUUGCUCACCCCAUCGCUGCUAACAUAUCGGAAAAUGCCAGCUUCGUCCCAAAAAGGGAUGCUCCCUGCCCAGCGCUAGGUUCUCCGGCGCGUGAUUGAUACUGUGACCCUUCCAUCAUUUAAACUCCUUUGCUUUGCCCCUUUUAACUGUUCGUAGGAACCCCCAUUGCCAACCCCGGAGCAUUUCCAGCCCUGACUGCCGCGAAGCCGCGGACUUUUAGUGCAAUGCCCGCAGGGGGGGGUUGGAGAGCUAGGGAGUUUAAGGAUAUUCACGUUAAUCGGACAUUAGCGUAAACCACCAUAAUGCACAAAAUGUCUGGAAUCAGCUCACUCGGAAGAUAUAUAAUAGCACAACUUAAUGCAAAUUCCCCAGUGGGUAUUGGGAUCUUUGGCAAAUUUGUUUUCAUCCUCAAAAGAAACCUGUGACUCUGGUGGGACUCGAACCCACAACCUUUGAAUCACUUCACUACGCUAGAAGUCCAAUGCGCUAUCCAUUGCGCCACAGAGCCGCGCGUUAGGUUACCUCCUCUGCCUUAAAGGACACUUUUAUGUUACCUAAACAGUGGCCUCCAUAUGCCGGAAGUUUUCUUGGGGAAGUAUAAAGCAGUUGCUUUAGGUUGGAAAUUGCAGCUCCAUCCGGGGCGGAGAGCAAGAAGAAAAAGAGUUAAAAUGACUGGGGCGGGGAAGUUUAAAGCGGACUAGCAAACAAAAGCUCCCUCUCUUACCAGAAGUGGGGUUCGAACCCACGCAGACAUAUGUCUAUUGGAUCUUAAGUCCAACGCCUUAACCACUCGGCCAUUCUGGUAAUUAUGGUCAACUUUGACAACACCAUGAAAUAAGCUGAAUAACUUCAGCCUUUUGACGCGCGAUACAUCCGCCCCCCUGCUGGACGAAGAGCGUCUCCAUUCAACAAGCUGCAUCGAGUAGUAGCAGAAGUUCAAAACCCAUCUCCUAGCUACCCUGCCUGCCAGGAUUAGUGCGUACGACAGAGUACUACUGGAAGGGGCACGUUUCACACGAAUAAAUGUAAGAGAAUUCAUUUAGCACGGACGACUAUAGUUGGCUAACUAGUAAUAAAUCUUACACUUUCACCAG